CCUACGGGAGGCAGCAGUCGGGAAUCUUCCGCAAUGGGCGAAAGCCUGACGGAGCGACGCCGCGUGAGUGAUGAAGGCCUUCGGGUUGUAAAGCUCGGGAAGUAGUGCAACGGUAUCUCCUUAGCAAGCACCGGCUAACUCUGUGCCAGCAGCCGCGGUAAGACAGAGGGUGCAAACGUUGUUCGGAUUUACUGGGCGUAAAGCGCGUGUAGGCGGCUUGGCAAGUUGGAUGUGAAAGCCCACGGCUCAACCGUGGAAGAGCAUCCAAAACUGCCUCGCUCGAGCUCGGAGAGGAAGGUGGAAUGCUUGGUGUAGAGGUGAAAUUCGUAGAUAUCAGCAGAACACCUGCGGCGAAGGCGGCCUUCUGGACGAUACUGACGCUGAGACGCGAAAGCGUGGGGAGCAAACAGGAUUAGAUACCCCUGUAGUC
rnacentral:rRNA from 1 species